AAACACUCCCGAUUUCGAUUUCACAUGUUGCUAUCACCACCCCGGUGCUCUUGUACAUGUACAAGUCACAAAACGGAGGAAGUUGCUGGGUAGUUCCUUGAUCCUUUGUGUAAAACUAAAAGUUGCUGUGACAAUAGUGAGAAUGCAUAACACAAAUUUCUGUAUCAAAACUUUAGGUAAAUGCAAGCAUGGAUAAUUAUACCGCUGUUUGUAGCCUGUGCUGUGAAUGGUGCAAUAACAAAAUGGACUCACGGUGCAGGGAAAGAGUUUACAAGACCUCACAGAUGACGAAACCCCACUCAGCAAUGAUUCAUACAGGAAUUGAGGAGGAGCCAAAGUCAGCAUGGAUUGUCGAACCAGUAUGGAGGAGUUAUGUAUGACUUUCGAAGAUGCUUCAGUUUGAAAUCUUUCGGACAGUACUCGCAGUGCCGUAGCUGGUGCAUGACCAAGUGAUUGAAGACAGUUCAACAAUGAUGGGCAGAGUGGAACUGAAAAAAAGCAGAUGAGGAGACGGACCUUUUCAGUUUCGCAGCGAGGUCUAGUAACUUCGUAAUCGGGCAAGGUGAUGGAUGUUGCUGCUUGUUGAGUUUUUCAUCUCCUGUCAAGUUUGCGCCUGAAAGAAGAGGUGAUGGAGGGACACACUGAGGGCCCAUGCACCUUCACAUUCAGUCGUACCUUUGGACUGUGUUAAAUAUUUCAAUAUUGGAACAGUUGAUUAAUAGUAAUUGUU
rnacentral:lncRNA from 1 species